GGCCACGUCACGUUAAAACACCGGUUCCCGUACAAUCACCGAAGUUAAGCAACGUCGAGCUUAGUCAGCACCUAAAUGGGUGACCGCUUAAGAUUACCAGGUGUUGUAAG